GACGAACGCUGGCGGCGUGCCUAAUACAUGCAAGUCGAACGAGAGCGACCGGUGCUUGCACUGGUCAAUCUAGUGGCGAACGGGUGAGUAACACGUGGGUAACCUGCCCAUCAGAGGGGGAUAACAUCCGGAAACGGAUGCUAAAACCGCAUAGGUCUUCGAACCGCAUGGUUUGAAGAGGAAAAGAGGCGCAAGCUUCUGCUGAUGGAUGGACCCGCGGUGCAUUAGCUAGUUGGUGAGGUAACGGCUCACCAAGGCCGUGAUGCAUAGCCGACCUGAGAGGGUGAUCGGCCACAUUGGGACUGAGACACGGCCCAAACUCCUACGGGAGGCAGCAGUAGGGAAUCUUCCGCAAUGGACGCAAGUCUGACGGAGCAACGCCGCGUGAGUGAAGAAGGUUUUCGGAUCGUAAAACUCUGUUGUUAGAGAAGAACAAGUGCUAGAGUAGCUGUUAGCGCCUUGACGGUAUCUAACCAGAAAGCCACGGCUAACUACGUG
rnacentral:rRNA from 1 species